UAAGUCUGAACACACAGUGAGUCUGUAGAUCAGCGUGUUUAUUAAAGUAUAGUGUUUAAAUCUCUGAUAAAUGUUUCUCUCUUGUCAGGUUGUACUCCGUUUUUACAACAGGUCCAGACCCUGGAUUGGUCUGAGAGCUGAAGGAGGGAGAUGGAAGUGGAUCGAUGGAAGUGAUCUGACUGAAAGAUUCAGAAGAUGGUUGUACGGCGAACCUCCCACUGACGGUCAGUGUGUAGUUUCUGUGCGUGUGUCCAGCUGGAAAUCAGAGAGCUGUGCUGAGAGAAGACCAUGGAUCUGCCAGAAGAAGUCUUUAUCUGUUUAACCCCUGCAGUCAGACUUGAGAAGGUUACUGGAUGCUCUGCAUGAUAACAUCACCUGGCUUCAUAAAUAUCUAACUAUUAAAAGCUCUACUUCAGAAUUUAAAUGGACUGUUUUU